CGUUUGUUUUUUCAGGUUAUACUACUCUACCAUCUCCAUCUACUGAUGAUACACGUUAAUACUCUGAAUGACUCGCGACCUUUGACUUGAAUACACGUUUAAGUUUCCCACGGUGCUCCAUGGACAGUGUACAGUGCACCAGUUGACUUGAAUGACUCGCGACCUUUGGCGAUGCAGCUGCUGAAAGACGUCUACUAGCUAGUAUGUUGAUACAAAUGCCAAUGGCGCAACAUUUUGCCGCUCUCCUGCCCUCAUUAAAUAUGCAAGCAUGUUUACCAUGGACAAGUUGCAUGGUGAGGCUGUUGGAUAUAAUGCAAAUGGACCGUGGUAUAGGCUAAAGGGCCAUGUUGUAACUGAGGCUCUGUUCUCUUCACCUUAUUUUCACUUAUUUCAGGAAUUGAAUUCAACAUAACUACGGCAACCACACAAAGAAAUUGGGUAAUUUUUUUCCUCAAAAAUGAUUUGUGUAUUUUAUUUUUGUCACGGUUGGUGUAAUGAUGUUUUUUGCGAUUUUCUUUGUGUAUCUGACAAAUUAAUUAAACAAGGUAAAUGUACUCGUGUUUAAUUGUUCUUUCUUUUUUCUCUGAUCAGUAAUUUAGUCCCAAUAUGUAUAUGUAUCAAAUAUUUCUUCUUCUCUUUCCCUUCUCAGUGUAUGUUGUAGAUUUGAUUGAGAAUUUUGAUUUUGGGAUGGAAUUGGAAAAUAAAACUUAUGAAGACAUUCAUUUGAAGAAGAUUAUUUCUUUUAUGAUUUUUGUUGUGUUUAUGGGUUUUAGAUUGUAUAUGGCUGUAGGCAAAUUUUUUUGGGUGUGUAUUACUUAAAGUAAAUGGUUCAAGAAAUCUAUGAUUAAUUUGAGUUCAAGGUGUUGUCUGCAUUAUGAUUCACUCCUCCACAAUAUGAGUCAAAGGGUUAUUUUUUUUAUUAUUGAUAUGAUUCAACUACAGUACAAUAUUACCUAAAUUAUACGGUUUGGAUGAUUGAUUUCUUAGUUGCACUAUUUUAUGUUGUAAAUUGUCAUUUUCUAUUCUCUCGAUCCUUGAUUAGAAAUGUGUUAUUUACACCCAAGUAAACAAAACCUUAUACAAAGUAUUACUUGAUAAUUUAGAUCCAUUGUCAGUUUAUUCAAGAAUUGAUCAAGAUAUUGCGUAAGGUCUUCAAAUCAUAGGUUAAGAUACUCUAAAUUUCAAGGUUCAUGAUGGCCUCGUGGAGUAAUGAUACAUCACAUAGCUAGAAACAAUACUGAAAAUAAUACUCAAAUACAAUCGGGUUGUAUGUUGAAAGUUGAAGUUUCUAGAAUGGUUUAAUUUGAUAGGGAUAUUUUUUUUCCAGUACCGGUGGAGAAUGCAAGAUAAUGGAUCAUAUUUGCAAGUAUUAAAAUCAUAGUCACAUUCUUGAUGGACAGAUGUGGUAUAAUUAUUUGAGUAACUAUGAUUCAAAGGACAGACAUGAGGUGAUUUGCUUUCAGUACUACCAAGCAGAUUUUAAGGAUGUUCACCCAAAAACACAUCCGUCUCUUAUCCUAUUCAAUGUCUUUUACUACUAGGUGUAAUUCCUAUUAAAUCAGUCUUUGAGUAUUAAGAUUGUCUGCUCUUUUUCUUAUUGUUCAUACGGAGUAUAAUCUUACGAUGCCAAGUAUUUAAUUUACGUAUCUAUCAACAUCCUCUAAUCAUCAUAGGCAUGUGUAUUUUAUGUGAAAGAAAUUGCGUGUGAAAUAGUGAUUGUAGAUUUUUAUACUUUGUAUGCAAUUUUUAUACACGAAGUAUUUUAUUGUGAAAUAGUGAUUGUAUUUAUAUUGUCUGAUGUAUAGCAUUGAAAAUACUUCGUGUAUUGUUUUUACUUGAUCUCUAAUAUAUCCAGGAAUUAAACGGGAGUUAUGUCCUUCAUGAGAAUACACAUAUUAUAGGAGUUGUAGGAGAUAAGAAAUCACUCACUCCAUAGUAAUCAAAGCGGCAAACACGCAAAUAGAAAGGAAGUGAGCUCAUCCUAGCUAGACUACUGCCAUGUUGUAUUAUUCAUAUUAUUAAUACAGAGUAUUUUUUUUAUAUUUUUUUUUCUUUUUUUUUUUGAUAAGGAAAGAAAACUCACGCAGACUACCUGACACUAUCCUUUCGAAUGGGUGAAUUACAAUGACUCCAAGGUAAUGCAAUACUUCUUUUAGAACAGAACUUACAAUGAAACUACGUUCUAACCUCAUACUACCCCAGCCCCAGUUCCAAGUAAACUUGGUGAAUAGACUUCAGAGAUAGACGAUUAGUCAAAGAUAGAGUAUUUUUUUUUAUAUGUUAUCAGGUUCUUUCAAUAUCUUUUUUAUAUGUUAAUACAGAGUAUCUACAACCUUUUAAAAGUGAGAACCUUAGUUUAACCAUUCAUGCAAUAGUAUUAUCCCUAAAAAGCCCUUCGUAUGACCUACUUCUGUGUUCCUUACUCUCUCCCUUGCUUCUCCUUCACCUCCAUACUCUGCUCUCAAAAUCCGCCCUCCUUUUCAUCCUCUCUUUGUUUUGCUAUUGUCAUCUAGGGUUUGUUAUCGGGUUUGCCUUUCUUUCUCCCUCGCCUCUCAUUCACCUCCAGCCUUUUCUCUGCAGAUCUGCUGUCCAUGGAGGCGCGGCCUUCUUCUUCGUUGUCGACAUCUUCUGUUUUUGCUCGGUGGAAACCUACCGGAGAUGUGGACCCAAUGCAUUGGGUCGCGUGCGUUGCGUUAGGAGUCUCCCAGAAAUCAGAUCUCGGGAGCGUGCCUGGGAGAUUUCCUACUGUUGUUUUUAGGGAACUUUUUUUUUUCCGGAAUCGGUUUGGUAUCUGGGCCUUGGUCAUUCCUGAAAUGGUGAGUGUUUGAGUAGAACCAAAUCUUCAUAUAUCGAGCUCUUAUUGAUGGUUCUGCAAGAGCUGGCCAGGUAGCUAAAGCCUUUGGUCUUUAUGGGAUUUAAGGUCUAAGGUAUGGAGUUAUUGUAUAUCUAGAGAUUAAUUGGCUUGAUAUCUAGACUACCUGCUCAGUAACUCUAAAAGCCAAAUGAAGCAUACCUAUAUUGCAGUAGAAUGUGAAGCCAGAUCGAGUUGUGUUCAAUGCACUUAUCACCGCUUGUGGCCAAUCUGGAGCAGCAAAACGCCCCUUUGUAUACUCCAGCAAUCUCCUGUUUCUUUUUUUUCUUUUUACCAGGAAAAUGCAAUAAUAUUAUUGUUUACUACUACCAUUCUGAGCUUCUUUUUCCUUACAUUUUAUUUUUAAAAAUUUAUUUGGGUUGUUGAGGGUCAUUUAAUGUCUGGAGGAGAAUCAUGUCCAUGGCUCAAGCUUCAGGGUGAGAAAUACUAGGGACAGUAUGCGAGCUUGAGGUGAGAGUUUUGCCCAUGGCUCAAAUCCUCUCUAUUUUCAAGAUUACAGAGUUAUAUGUGAAUAUGUGCUCUUCCUUUUUUUCUUAACUUGUCUAUCCUACUAUUUUCUUAAUCUUCUUGUCCCCUUCUUAUAAUUAUUAUUUUUUAAUGCUUAAUAAUUUUGUAUGUGAUUGUGUUGAUUGCAGUUCAUAAUUUAGCAGAUUUUUGGUUGACAAUUCUUUAAGAUCAGUCAUCUACUUUUUAUUGGGUUUUUCUUUAUUCUGGCCAGUCAUCUAUUUUUUAUUGACAAAAGUAAUUGCUGAUUUAUAUAGCCUUUUGAAUUUGCCUCGAGGAGUGAAUUAUUUGCCUCCUUAGAUGCAUAUAUUGUUAUAUGUGGUUGGAUACUGCCUAAUAGUGCAUAUUCCAUCUAGAUCAUUCUCCUUAGUGCAAGUCUACUUUUUAUACACCCUCUUUCCGUAAUCUCAUAUAUUCCUGACUUGUUGCUCUCUACCUUUAGAUAAAGGGUUCUAUCGCAUCAUACUUUGGGCUAGAUGGCUUUGACUAAAAGAUAUAAUUGAUCCACUUAUGAUGUUUAUACUGAACAAUAAAGAGAAUAUUAAACUUACUCUUGUCCAGUUUCUGUGCCUGUUCUAGAAUUUGAGAACUUUUAUCAAAAUGGACCAGCUGUGUUAGCAAGCUAGACAACCCUGCCCUGACAGAUUUUUAGUAUAUCUGGUCUCAGACUAUAAUGAAGAAUUUUACUUGGGCUCUUGUCCACUUUAUCGUGUUUGUAAUUUGUUGGUAGUUGUACUGUGAUUAUGGACGAAUCUAUAUCUUUGCCGUGACGUGUAAGCUGGCUCUUCUGUGUACUCAUGUUUUCCAUUUGUGUUGGUUAAUAUUGGCUUUCCUCUUACAAGCAUAAUUUUGGUGACGUUGUAAUAUUGAUAGUCAAUACUUUGCUUACUGCUUAUUCAAUACUUUUAUUGGAUUUCUUUACAUUGGAAUUUUUUUCCCCACUUUUUUGUGUGUAUAUUUUCCCCCUUUUUGUUGGAGUAUCGGUUUCUCGUAUCAGUCGUAUUUCUAAUAUUUUUUUUUUUAUUUCCUCGGCAUGAGUUACGUAAGGAACUUGGAAUGGAUGAGCAUCUUCCUGCUGUUUUGUUAAUGGGAGGAGGGGAAGGCAUCAGGCCUAUUGAGGCUACUGCAGGAGCUCUUGGAAAUGCGUUAUAUGAUGCUAACCUUGGUGAGCCAACAGGUCGACUUCUUGUGAUUUGUGGUCACGACAAAAAGCUUGCAGGAAAGCUGAGUUCAAUUGACCGGAAGAUCCCUGUACAGGUUCAAUCUGUCUAUGAAGAGAUGAUAUUGUCUGGCUGUAACCAGAUAGAAAUGCUAGAUCAAUGUUACUGUUGGCCGCUGAAGCACAUGAAGCAGAUGCUGAGAUGAUACUUAUUCCAAAUCAAUCUCCUAGAAAAGCUGAUGAUGUGUGAGGGUAUUGAACAUAUUUGUUAAUUUUGACUGGGUCAUCCGUUGACUGCUUGGGAGUCGAUUGAGGUUACUUCUGCAGAAAUCAGUGCUCCAGCGCUUUCAAAGUUUCCGGUAGUCCUUGUUUUUGUAUGAACAUUUGAUUAUUUGUGGAAUUGUAGAAGAAGUGCUGCCUAGUACUCAAGAUUUCAGGAAGGAAAGAAAUUAGAUUUUAGCUUCUUUUUUACUGUUGAAUUAGAAAUGCUGACAGAAGAUAGGGGGAUCUGUAUUUAUGUAAGACUUCACUGCUUAAGGGCCCAAGGAUGCCUUGAAAAGCGGUGCAAUCGUUACGGUGGUUUUGUAAAAAAAUUGAAUCCUUGUACUAACUACUACUUUUGAUUUCUCUGUUAAAAGAAAGUGGAAGUUAUGAUGAGCAACGGUGACAGUCUCCCGUGCCAUCUUAUAACAAAA